GAUGAAGAAGCAGCGAAAUGCGAUACUUGGUGUGAAUUGCAGAAUCCCGUGAACCAUCGAGUCUUUGAACGCAAGUUGCGCCCGAAGCCAUUAGGCCGAGGGCACGCCUGCCUGGGCGUCACACGUCGUUGCCCCCCCAUCUACUCCUUCGGGAUUGCGGGGGGCGGAUGAUGGCCUCCCGUGCGCCUCGCCGCGCGGUUGGCAUAAAUGCCAAGUCCUCGGCGACGCACGCCACGACAAUCGGUGGUUGCGAAACCUCGGUUGCCCGUCGUGUGCGGUCGUCGCGCAUCGAGGGCUCGAAAAAAUUGCCGGGUUCCGGCUCGGCUUUCAACGCGACCCCAGGUCAGGCGGGGUUACCCGCUGAAUUUAAGCAUAUCAAUAAGCGGAGGA
rnacentral:misc_RNA from 1 species